UAGAGUCAAGUGAAUAAGUGCAUCAGGUGGAUGCCUUGGCGAUGAUAGGCGACGAAGGACGUGUAAGCCUGCGAAAAGCGUGGGGGAGCUGGCAAUAAAGCAAUGAUCCCGCGAUGUCCGAAUGGGGAAACCCACCGUAUUCUGUACGGUAUCCUUGUCUGAAUACAUAGGGCAAGAGAAGCGAACCCGGAGAACUGAACCAUCUAAGUACCCGGAGGAAAAGAAAUCAACCGAGAUUGCGCAAGUAGUGGCGAGCGAACGCGCAAGAGCCUGUAUAUGAUAGCUGGCGAGAUAGAAGAACAAGCUGGGAAGCUUGGCCAUAGUGGGUGACAGCCCCGUAUUCGAAAUCUCAUCAGUGGUACUAGGUAUACGACAAGUAGGGCGGGACACGUGAAAUCCUGUUUGAAGAUGGGGGGACCAUCCUCCAAGGCUAAAUACUCAUCAUCGACCGAUAGUGAACCAGUACCGUGAGGGAAAGGCGAAAAGAACCCCGGGAGGGGAGUGAAAUAGAACCUGAAACCUGAUGCAUACAAACAGUGGGAGCGGACUUGUUCCGUGACUGCGUACCUUUUGUAUAAUGGGUCAACGACUUACAUUCAGUAGCGAGCUUAACCGAAUAGGGGAGGCGUAGGGAAACCGAGUCUUAAUAGGGCGACAAGUUGCUGGGUGUAGACCCGAAACCGAGUGAUCUAUCCAUGGCCAGGAUGAAGGUGCCGUAACAGGUACUGGAGGUCCGAACCCACGCAUGUUGCAAAAUGCGGGGAUGAGCUGUGGAUAGGGGUGAAAGGCUAAACAAACUCGGAGAUAGCUGGUUCUCCCCGAAAACUAUUUAGGUAGUGCCUCGAGUAAGAGACUGAUGGGGGUAAAGCACUGUUAUGGCUAGGGGGUUAUUGCAACUUACCAACCCAUGGCAAACUAAGAAUACCAUCAAGUCGUUUCUCGGGAGACAGACAGCGGGUGCUAACGUCCGUUGUCAAGAGGGAAACAACCCAGACCGCCAGCUAAGGUCCCAAAUGAUAGAUUAAGUGGUAAACGAAGUGGGAAGGCCCAGACAGCCAGGAUGUUGGCUUAGAAGCAGCCAUCAUUUAAAGAAAGCGUAAUAGCUCACUGGUCGAGUCGUCCUGCGCGGAAGAUGUAACGGGGCUCAAAUCUAUAACCGAAGCUGCGGAUACGUGUUUACACGUAUGGUAGGGGAGCGUUCUGUAGGCCGAAGAAGGUGAAUCGAGAGGUUUGCUGGAGGUAUCAGAAGUGCGAAUGUUGACAUGAGUAGCGAUAAAGCGGGUGAAAAGCCCGCUCGCCGAAAACCCAAGGUUUCCUACGCAACGUUCAUCGGCGUAGGGUGAGUCGGCCCCUAAGGCGAGGCAGAAAUGCGUAGUCGAUGGGAAACGGGUUAAUAUUCCCGUACUUUGAUUUGGUGCGAUGUGGGGACGGAGAAGGUUAUGUCAGCAAGCUGUUGGAAUAGCUUGUUCAAGCCGGUAGGUGGAAAGUUUAGGCAAAUCCGGACUUUCAUAACACCGAGAAGCGAUAACGAUUGUCUACGGACAAGAAGUGACAGAUACCACGCUUCCAGGAAAAGCCACUAAGCUUCAGCCAAGUCAGAACCGUACCGCAAACCGACACAGGUGGGUAGGAUGAGAAUUCUAAGGCGCUUGAGAGAACUCAGGAGAAGGAACUCGGCAAAUUGAUACCGUAACUUCGGGAGAAGGUAUGCCCUUUGAUGUGAAAGACUAGCUCUGUAAGCAUCGGAGGGUCGCAGAGAAUCGGUGGCUGCGACUGUUUAUUAAAAACACAGCACUCUGCUAACACGAAAGUGGACGUAUAGGGUGUGACGCCUGCCCGGUGCUGGAAGGUUAAUUGAAGAUGUGAGAGCAUUGGAUCGAAGCCCCAGUAAACGGCGGCCGUAACUAUAACGGUCCUAAGGUAGCGAAAUUCCUUGUCGGGUAAGUUCCGACCCGCACGAAUGGCGUAACGAUGGCCACACUGUCUCCUCCUGAGACUCAGCGAAGUUGAAAUGGUUGUGAAGAUGCAAUCUCCCCGCUGCUAGACGGAAAGACCCCGUGAACCUUUACUGUAGCUUUGCAUUGGACUUUGAAGUCACUUGUGUAGGAUAGGUGGGAGGCUUAGAAGCAGAGACGCUAGUUUCUGUGGAGCCGUCCUUGAAAUACCACCCUGGUGACUUUGAGGUUCUAACCCAGACCCGUAAUCCGGGUCGGGGACCGUGCAUGGUAGGCAGUUUGACUGGGGCGGUCUCCUCCCAAAGAGUAACGGAGGAGUUCGAAGGUUACCUAGGUCCGGUCGGAAAUCGGGCUGAUAGUGCAAUGGCAAAAGGUAGCUUAACUGCGAGACCGACAAGUCGAGCAGGUGCGAAAGCAGGACAUAGUGAUCCGGUGGUUCUGAAUGGAAGGGCCAUCGCUCAACGGAUAAAAGGUACUCCGGGGAUAACAGGCUGAUUCCGCCCAAGAGUUCAUAUCGACGGCGGAGUUUGGCACCUCGAUGUCGGCUCAUCACAUCCUGGGGCUGUAGUCGGUCCCAAGGGUAUGGCUGUUCGCCAUUUAAAGUGGUACGUGAGCUGGGUUUAAAACGUCGUGAGACAGUUUGGUCCCUAUCUGCAGUGGGCGUUGGAAGUUUGACGGGGGCUGCUCCUAGUACGAGAGGACCGGAGUGGACGAACCUCUGGUGUACCGGUUGUCACGCCAGUGGCAUAGCCGGGUAGCUAAGUUCGGAAGAGAUAAGCGCUGAAAGCAUCUAAGCGCGAAACUCGCCUGAAGAUGAGACUUCCCUGGUGGUUAAACCACCCUAAAGAGUCGUUCGAGACCAGGACGUUGAUAGGUCGGGUGUGGAAGCGCGGUAACGCGUGAAGCUAACCGAUACUAAUUGCUCGUGAGGCUUGACUCUA
rnacentral:rRNA from 1 species